rnacentral:rRNA from 1 species
GCGGCCACCGCUAUCAAGUUCCGACUAAGCCAUGCGAGUCAAGGUAUCGUAAGAUGCCGGCAAACUGCUCAGUAACACGUGGAUAAUCUAACCUUGAGUAAGGGAUAACCUCGGGAAACUGAGGAUAAUACCUUAUAAUUGCUUAAAACUGGAAUGUUUAAGCAAUAAAAGUUCCGACGCUCAAGGAUGAGUCUGCGACCUAUCAGGUAGUAGGUGGUGUAAUGGACCACCUAGCCUCAGACGGGUACGGGCCCUGGGAGGGGUAGCCCGGAGAUGGACUCUGAGACAUCAGUCCAGGCCCUACGGGGCGCAGCAGGCGCGAACACUGUGCAAUGCGCGAAAGCGCGACACGGGGAGCUUGAGUGUCUUGGCAUAGCCAAGACUUUUCUCAUUCCUAAAAAGCAUGAGGAAUAAGUGCUGGGUAAGACGGGUGCCAGCCGCCGCGGUAACACCCGCAGCACAAGUGGUGGUCACUUUUAUUGAGCCUAAAGCGUUCGUAGCCGGUUUUGUAAAUCUUUAGAUAAAGCCUGAAGCUUAACUCCAGAAAGUCUGAAGAGACUGCAAGACUUGAGAUCGGGUGAGGUUAAACGUACUUUCAGGGUAGGGGUAAAAUCCUGUAACCCCGGAAGGACGACCAGUGGCGAAAGCGUUUAACUAGAACGAAUCUGACGGUAAGGAACGAAGGCUAGGGUAGCAAACCGGAUUAGAUACCCGGGUAGUCCUAGCUGUAAACACUGCCCAUUUGAUGUUGCUUUUCCGUUGAGGGAAGGCAGUGUCGGAGCGAAGGUGUUAAAUGGGCCGCUUGGGAAGUAUGGUCGCAAGACUGAAACUUAA